rnacentral:rRNA from 1 species
CCCUAGGGCCCCCCUAGGGGCGACAAAGGGCCCCAACCUCUUGGUGCCCGGUUCAACCGGGUCCCUCUAAGUAGCGCAGUAAACCUGGCACAGUGAGCUCCCGAUUGGGACGGGCUGGGUGCAGGAAAGGAGCCCCUCCUUUCGGUGCUGGGCUCUCCAGCCCCUCCUUUAGGUACCGAGCUGUCUCCGCUCGCAUGAGGUCGCAGCAGCUGGUUCUAGGUCCCGGGGGCUGGCGGAGGGUCGAGGAGGCGGCCGCUGUCUUCACUGUGAGGGCUGGGGGAGGGAGGCCACGAUUCCUAGGUUGAGGCGAGGAGGUCGCUGCCGCUGCCUGGCGCCAGCAGUGGCAGAGGAAGGGGCCUAAAUUGGAGGCGGAGCUUCGAGGUUACGGGAGGCCGCUGCCGCUGCCGCAGUCCAGGCGCUUGCAUAAGAUAGAGUAGACUAGUUCCCAAUCGGGGGAGGAGGAGGGGGUAUAUAAAAGAAGUCAAGUACGGAAGCGGCAGGGACUACAACUUGGUGAUCUACGUAUGCUCAAACAUAAAAAGAACACAUG